AUUGAACGCUGGCGGCAGGCCUAACACAUGCAAGUCGAACGGUAACAGGAAGCAGCUUGCUGCUUUGCUGACGAGUGGCGGACGGGUGAGUAAUGUCUGGGAAACUGCCCGAUGGAAGGGGAUAACUACUGGAAACGGUAGCUAAUACCGCAUAACGUCGCAAGACCAAAGAGGGGGACCUUAGGGCCUCUUGCCAUCGGAUGUGCCCAGAUGGGAUUAGCUAGUAGGUGGGGUAACGGCUCACCUAGGCGACGAUCCCUAGCUGGUCUGAGAGGAUGACCAGCCACACUGGAACUGAGACACGGUCCAGACUCCUACGGGAGGCAGCAGUGGGGAAUAUUGCACAAUGGGCGCAAGCCUGAUGCAGCCAUGCCGCGUGUAUGAAGAAGGCCUUCGGGUUGUAAAGUACUUUCAGCGGGGAGGAAGGGAGUAAAGUUAAUACCUUUGCUCAUUGACGUUACCCGCAGAAGAAGCACCGGCUAACUCCGUG
rnacentral:rRNA from 1 species